rnacentral:rRNA from 1 species
UGAAUACGAGAUGCUACGGCAUCGAAGCAGUCUAUGUCAUACUUCCAAGAAAAGCUUGCACUGUCAUAAACAAAUAAUGCCUGUACCAUAACCGACACAGGUGGGUAGGUAGAGUAUACUAAGGGGCGCGAGAUAACUCUCUCUAAGGAACUCGGCAAAAUGACUCCGAACUUCGGGAGAAGGAGUGCCUUAUUUUAUAAGGUUGCAAUAACAAGAUCCAAGCAACUGUUUACCAAAAACACAGGUCUCCGCUAAGUCGUAAGACGAUGUAUGGGGGCUGACGCCUGCCCAGUGCCAGAAGGUUAAAGAAGUUGGUUAGCAUUAGCGAAGCUGAUAACUGAAGCCCUGGUGAACGGCGGCCGUAACAAUAACGGUCCUAAGGUAGCGAAAUUCCUUGUCGGGUAAGUUCCGACCCGCACGAAAGGCGUAAUGAUUUGGAUACUGUCUCGGAGAGGGGCUCGGUGAAAUAGACUUGUCUGUGAAGAUGCGGACUACCUGCACCAGGACAGAAAGACCCUAUGAAGCUUUACUGUAACUUGAGAUUGAAAUUGGACUUUAUUUGCGCAGUAUAGGUGGGAGACGUUGAAAAUAUUCUUGCGGGAAUAUUGGAGUCAUCAGUGAGAUACCACUCUUAUAAUGUUAGAUUUCUAACUUUGUAUCAUUAUCUGGUCAAAGAACAGUCUCAGGCGGGCAGUUUGACUGGGGCGGUCGCCUCCCAAACGGUAACGGAGGCGCACAAAGGUUUCCUCUGAACGUGUAGAAAUCGUAUCUAGAGUGUAAAGGCAUAAGGAAGCUCGACUGUGAGACCUACAAGUCGAGCAGGGACGAAAGUCGGUCUUAGUGAUCUGACGGUGCUGAGUGGAAAGGCCGUCACUCAACGGAUAAAAGUUACUCUAGGAUAACAGGCUGAUCUCCCCCAAGAGUUCACAUCGACGGGGAGGUUUGGCACCUCGAUGUCGGCUCAUCGCAUCCUGGGGCGGUAGUACGUCCCAAGGGUUGGGCUGUUCGCCCAUGAAAGCGGUACGCGAGCUGGGUUCAGAACGUCGUGAGACAGUUCGGUCCAUAUCCGGUGUAGGCGUUAGAAUAUUGAGAGGAGCCUUCUUUAGUACGAGAGGACCGAGAAGGACAUACCUCUGGUGUACCAGUUAUCGUGCCAACGGUAGACGCUGGGUAGCUAUGUAUGGAGAGGAUAACCGCUGAAAGCAUCUAAGUGGGAAGCCCACCUCAAGAUAAG